GGGGGUAUAGCUCAGUGGUGGAGCAUUCGACUGUAGAUCGAAAGGUCCCCGGUUCAAACCCGCGUGCCCUCU
rnacentral:tRNA from 1 species